rnacentral:rRNA from 1 species
UACGAAGGGGGCUAGCGUUGCUCGGAAUCACUGGGCGUAAAGCGCACGUAGGCGGACUCUUAAGUCGGUGGUGAAAUCCUGGAGCUCAACUCCAGAACUGCCUUUGAUACUGAGGAUCUUGAGUUCGGGAGAGGUGAGUGGAAUUCCCAGUGUAGCGGUGAAAUGCGUAGAUAUUGGGAGGAACACCAGUGGCGAAGGCGGCUCACUGGACCGGAACUGACGCUGAGGCGCGAAAGCGUGGGGAGCAACAGG